UGGGCCAAAUCGUCACCGCUUCGCUGUCGUUUGGGAGAAA
rnacentral:tRNA from 1 species